rnacentral:lncRNA from 1 species
GUAGCUGCUGCACGUUAUGAGUGUGUUCCUGGCAUGACUGCUUCUAACAGCGACCAUUUCAUUAAGUUUUUAAGUGCCUGGUAAUUGCUUGGUUAUGACCGGUGUCUGCUCCAUGGCAGCCUCUUCCUGGGACCAGAUCUGAACAGUCUGGAGAGAGGAGCUGUGGUGGCAGCAGACAGAUCUCUGCUUCAGGGGCCAGGUGUCUAGAAGAAAUGCUGAGGCAGUGUCACGCUGGUGUCUGUCCUCCUUACAGAAUGCCUGAACAGUUCCAUUGACUCAAAGUGAAGAUCAAAAGAACCAAAUGACAGCAAUAGCCAAGUGUAAUCAUCAGUAACCCUGUGUUCUAUCCACAGGUAAAAAACAAUCAUCCUCUUCAUUAUGGGUUUCAAUUUUAAAUGUAAUACAUUUUUAGAAAUGCCUA